GACGAACGCUGGCGGCGUGCCUAAUACAUGCAAGUCGAACGCUUCUUUUUCCACCGGAGCUUGCUCCACCGGAAAAAGAGGAGUGGCGAACGGGUGAGUAACACGUGGGUAACCUGCCCAUCAGAAGGGGAUAACACUUGGAAACAGGUGCUAAUACCGUAUAACAAUCAAAACCGCAUGGUUUUGAUUUGAAAGGCGCUUUCGGGUGUCGCUGAUGGAUGGACCCGCGGUGCAUUAGCUAGUUGGUGAGGUAACGGCUCACCAAGGCCACGAUGCAUAGCCGACCUGAGAGGGUGAUCGGCCACAUUGGGACUGAGACACGGCCCAAACUCCUACGGGAGGCAGCAGUAGGGAAUCUUCGGCAAUGGACGAAAGUCUGACCGAGCAACGCCGCGUGAGUGAAGAAGGUUUUCGGAUCGUAAAACUCUGUUGUUAGAGAAGAACAAGGAUGAGAGUAACUGUUCAUCCCUUGACGGUAUCUAACCAGAAAGCCACGGCUAACUACGUGCCAGCAGCCGCGGUAAUACGUAGGUGGCAAGCGUUGUCCGGAUUUAUUGGGCGUAAAGCGAGCGCAGGCGGUUUCUUAAGUCUGAUGUGAAAGCCCCCGGCUCAACCGGGGAGGGUCAUUGGAAACUGGGAGACUUGAGUGCAGAAGAGGAGAGUGGAAUUCCAUGUGUAGCGGUGAAAUGCGUAGAUAUAUGGAGGAACACCAGUGGCGAAGGCGGCCCUCUGGUCUGUAACUGACGCUGAGGC
rnacentral:rRNA from 1 species